rnacentral:tRNA from 1 species
GCCUUCGUGAUGUAACGAUAACAUAUUCAGCUCGUAUUCGAGAGGUCCAGGUUCGAGUCCUGGCGAGGUCA